UGCCAUAAGGAGGUGGGUUAGUGGGAGAUUUGGGGUGACAGUGUUUGGCAGGGGCUACAAAGUGAAGAUGUAGGGAGGGGAGAAAGCGCUUGGUGCCUUGGGCUGACACCAAGGCUUUGGGAGGCGACUCCCUGCUGGUACUGCAGUGAGAGAGGAGCAGGGGAGCAACCAGACGAGCAAAGACAGCCGCCACCUCACACUGGGUGAUGACUGAACUAACUCCAUCUUGCACACUAAUAAUACGGCAUCAGUGGCUCUUGGUGCUGAGCUUGCAGACCAGUGGCAUCACUAACUCUAUUUUGUGCUCAGAAUCAUACAUUCCUUAUCAAAAGUAUAAAAGUGUCAUAUUUCUUCACUCUUUUCCGGGCUUUAUUCAGACUGCACUCCAGAUCUUUUCCAUAAAAAACUUUUUAGGAGCAGUUUGACAGAGACAGAGCUGUGUUUGAGGUAUUGGUUUGUUGGUUUGAUGUACAUUAUCUGUUAUUCGUAUGGACCACAAAGAAAGUGGAUGUGAUCUUUUCCUUCAAAACUGCCUUGUGAAUACAAUUCUAAAAUAAACUAUAAAAACUAUCACACCAUA